AGUUUGAUCAUGGCUCAGAACGAACGCUGGCGGCGUGCUUAACACAUGCAAGUCGUACGAGAAACCGGGACUUCGGUUUCGGGAGUAAAGUGGCGCACGGGUGAGUAACGCGUAGGUAAUCUACCCUUGGGUUUGGAAUAACCCGCCGAAAGGCGGACUAAUACCGGAUAAAAUCUUUCGGAGGGAUCUGAAAGAUCAAAGGUGGCCUCUCCAUGGAUGCUACUGCCUGAGGAUGAGCCUGCGUCCCAUUAGCUUGUUGGUAGGGUAAUGGCCUACCAAGGCUACGAUGGGUAGCUGGUCUGAGAGGAUGACCAGUCACACUGGGAACUGGAACACGGUCCAGACUCCUACGGGAGGCAGCAGUGAGGAAUAUUGCGCAAUGGGGGAAACCCUGACGCAGCGACGCCGCGUGGGUGAAGAAGGCCUUCGGGUCGUAAAGCCCUGUCUAGAGGGAAGAAAUUCUCAAUGGAAUAAUAUCCAUUGAGAUUGACGGUACCUCUGGAGGAAGCACCGGCUAACUCCGUGCCAGCAGCCGCGGUAAUACGGAGGGUGCGAGCGUUGUUCGGAAUUACUGGGCGUAAAGCGGGUGUAGGCGGUUUGUUAAGUCAGAUGUGAAAGCCCACGGCUCAACCGUGGAAGUGCAUCUGAAACUGGCUGACUUGAGUACCGGAGAGGGAAGUGGAAUUCCUGGUGUAGGGGUGAAAUCCGUAGAUAUCAGGAGGAACACCGGUGGCGAAGGCGACUUCCUGGACGGAUACUGACGCUGAGAUCCGAAAGCG
rnacentral:rRNA from 1 species